GUGCUCCUUUUGGCAGCACAUAUACUGAAAUGGGAACAAUACAGAGAAGAUGAGCAUGGCCCCUGCGCAAGGAUGACAUGCAAAUUCGUGAGGCGUUCCAUGUUUUU